rnacentral:rRNA from 1 species
AGAACGAACGCUGGCGGCAGGCUUAACACAUGCAAGUCGAACGCUGUAGCAAUACAGAGUGGCAGACGGGUGAGUAACGCGUGGGAACGUGCCCUUCGGUUCGGAAUAACUCAGGGAAACUACAGCUAAUACCGCAUGAUGACCGAGGUCUAAAGGCGCAAGUCGCCUGGGGAGGAGCCUGCGUACGAUUAGCUAGUUGGUGGGGUAAAGGCCUACCAAGGCGACGAUCGUUAGCUGGUCUGAGAGGAUGACCAGCCACAUUGGGACUGAGACACGGCCCAAACUCCUACGGGAGGCAGCAGUGGGGAAUAUUGGACAAUGGGCGAAAGCCUGAUCCAGCAAUGCCGCGUGUGUGAAGAAGGUCUUCGGAUUGUAAAGCACUUUCGACGGGGACGAUGAUGACGGUACCCGUAGAAGAAGCCCCGGCUAACUUCGUGCCAGCAGCCGCGGUAAUACGAAGGGGGCUAGCGUUGCUCGGAAUGACUGGGCGUAAAGGGCGCGUAGGCGGAUGGCACAGUCAGAUGUGAAAUUCCCGGGCUUAACCUGGGGGCUGCAUUUGAUACGUGUUGUCUAGAGUGAGGAAGAGGGUCGUGGAAUUCCCAGUGUAGAGGUGAAAUUCGUAGAUAUUGGGAAGAACACCGGUGGCGAAGGCGGCGACCUGGUCCUUUACUGACGCUGAGGCGCGAAAGCGUGGGGAGCAAACAGGAUUAGAUACCCUGGUAGUCCACGCUGUAAACGAUGUGUGCUGGAUGUUGGGCGACCUAGUCGCUCAGUGUCGUAGCUAACGCGAUAAGCACACCGCCUGGGGAGUACGGCCGCAAGGUUGAA